rnacentral:rRNA from 1 species
GAUGAACGCUGGCGGCGUGCCUAACACAUGCAAGUCGAGCGAAGCACUUUGCUUAGAUUCUUCGGAUGAAGAGGAUUGUGACUGAGCGGCGGACGGGUGAGUAACGCGUGGGUAACCUGCCUCAUACAGGGGGAUAACAGUUAGACAUGACUGCUGAUACCGCAUAAGACCACAGCACCGCAUGGUGCGGGGGUAAAAACUCCGGUGGUAUGAGAUGGACCCGCGUCUGAUUAGCUAGUUGGUAAGGUAACGGCUUACCAAGGCGACGAUCAGUAGCCGACCUGAGAGGGUGACCGGCCACAUUGGGACUGAGACACGGCCCAAACUCCUACGGGAGGCAGCAGUGGGGAAUAUUGCACAAUGGGGGAAACCCUGAUGCAGCGACGCCGCGUGAGCGAAGAAGUAUUUCGGUAUGUAAAGCUCUAUCAGCAGGGAAGAAAAUGACGGUACCUGACUAAGAAGCACCGGCUAAAUACGUGCCAGCAGCCGCGGUAAUACGUAUGGUGCAAGCGUUAUCCGGAUUUACUGGGUGUAAAGGGAGCGUAGACGGAUGGGCAAGUCUGAUGUGAAAACCCGGGGCUCAACCCCGGGACUGCAUUGGAAACUGUUCAUCUAGAGUGCUGGAGAGGUAAGUGGAAUUCCUAGUGUAGCGGUGAAAUGCGUAGAUAUUAGGAGGAACACCAGUGGCGAAGGCGGCUUACUGGACAGUAACUGACGUUGAGGCUCGAAAGCGUGGGGAGCAAACAGG